AUGGGAACAAUACUAGAAGUUUUGCUUCGAUCAUGUGCCAGUAAAUUGCAAGAUAUCAUUACUAGUGAGGCCAUACUAAUCUUAGGGGUGGAAGAAGAGCUCGAAGAAGUGUUGCGGCGAGUAGAACUGAUACGGUGUUGUAUACAUGAUGCUGAGAAAAGGAGGACAAAAGAGCUGGCAGUAAACAAUUGGCUUGGUCAACUAAGAGAUGUUAUAUAUGAUGUUGAUGAAAUCGUGGACGUGGCUAGAUGUAAAGGAAGCAGGCUACUACUUGAUGAUCCUUCAUCACCAUCAUCAAGCAAAUCAGUAGCAUGUAAAGCCCUUUCAGUUUCCUCUUGCUUCUGUAACAUCCGAUCACGUCGUGAUGUUGCUGUUCGGAUUAGAAGCCUCAAUAGAAAGAUAGAGAAUAUCUCAAAGGACAAGAUAUUCUUAUCAUUCAAUACUAGUACACAACCUACAGAAAAUGGCUCAACAUCCAAACUGAAAAGAAGCUCCAAUCUUGUUGAGCCUAACCUUGUGGGAAAGGAAAUCAUACAUUCCAGUAGGAAGUUGGUGGACUUAGUUCUUGCACACAAGGAAAAUAAGUCUUACAAGCUUGCUAUUGUUGGAACGGGCGGAGUUGGAAAGACAACACUAGCUCAGAAAAUAUAUAAUGACACAAAAAUAAAAGGAAGCUUCAAGAUGCAUGCAUGGAUUUGUGUUUCACGGGACUACAAUGAAGUAACUCUUCUGAAAGAAGUUCUCCGGAAUAUUGGUGUGCAUCAUGAACAAGGUGAAACCAUAGCAGAGCUGCAAAGUAAGCUUGCAGAAACAAUUGAAGGGAAGAGUUUCUUUCUGGUUCUAGAUGAUGUAUGGCAUUCCAAUGUAUGGACGGGUUUAUUUAGACUUCCCUUACAUGCAACAACUAGCGAAGUAAUAUUGGUAACCACACGAGAUAAUCAAAUUGCAUUGAGAAUAGGCACACAGUACAACCAUCAAGUUGAUCUCAUGUCAGCAGAGGUGGGAUGGGAGCUGCUUUGGAGGAGCAUGAACAUUGUUGAAGAGAAACAAGUGCAGAAUUUUAGAAACACGGGGAUUGAGAUUGUUCGUAAAUGUGGUCACCUCCCUCUUGCAAUCAAGGUUACAUCUAGUUCUUUGGCCAGCAAAGAUCUAACAGAGAAUGAGUGGAAAAAGUAUCUGGGUAAAUAUAUUGACUCCCAGAGCAUACUCUUGGACGAAGUAGAAUUAGCUUUGUAUCUAAGCUAUGAUGAGUUACCACAUCGUCUGAAACAGUGUUUCCUUUAUUGUGCUCUGUAUGUUGAAGAUUCUAUCAUUCGACGUGAUGAAGUUACCUGGUUAUGGAUUGCUGAAGGCUUCAUCGAGGAGCAGCAAGGCCAACUACUAGAAGACAUAGCAGAAGAGUACUACUACGAGCUAAUACAUCGGAAUCUCCUCCAGCCAAAUAGGAUAAAUUUUGACCAGGCUGAAUGCAAAAUGCACGAUCUCUUAAGACAGCUUGCUUUGAAUAUAUCAAGGGAAGAAUGUUUUGUUGGAGAUGUUGAAUCAUUAAGGGGUGAAAAUAUGUCAAAACUGCGACGUGUUACUGCUGUUAUUAAGAAGGAUAUGUCAGUGUUACCUAGAGUGGAUAAGGUGGAAGUUAAGGUGAGGACUUUCCUAACUGUUCGUGGUCCACAAAGAAUUGAAGAUACGUUGUUCAAGAGAUUUCUCCUUCUUCGUGUUUUGGUACUGAAUUACUCACUUGUGCAAAGCAUUCCGGACUAUAUAGGAAAACUGAUACAUCUACGCCUACUUAAUCUAGAUUAUACUGGCAUAUCUUGUGUUCCGGAAUCCAUUGGCUCCCUAAAGAACCUUCAAGUUCUGAGCUUGAGAUGGUGUCACUAUCUGCAUGUUCUUCCUUCAGCAAUGACACUAUUGAGCCAUUUAAGAUGUCUUGACCUUUUUGGCACAGAAAUAAAUCAGGUUCCACGAGGGAUAGGGAAACUGAAGCUCCUCACUCAUUUAGGAGAUUAUCCUGUUGGUGAUGGAAGUGAUAAUGCUGUUGUACAAGAUGGAUGGAAGUUGGAAGAGUUGUCUUGUUUGUCGCAGAUGAGGUGUCUUGAUCUUGUUAAAUUGGAAAGAGCAACUCACUGCAGUACAAAUAUAGUGCUUAUGGACAAAAGGCAUCUACAGAAACUAACACUAGAGUGGACUGAACGUGGAGAGGGGUCAUAUUCAGAAGAAGAUGUUAGUAAUACUGAGAAGGUCUUUGAGCAGCUAAUACCUCCGCACAACCUGGAAGACCUAUGUAUUCUUCGAUUCUUUGGUCGGCGGUGUGCCACCUGGUUUGAAACCACCUGUUUGUCUUCAUUAAUAUACUUGAAACUCAGAGAUGUACGAUCAUGUGUGCAUCUUCCACCGAUCGGGCAGCUACCAAACUUGAAAUUUCUGAGAAUUGAAGGAGCACAUGCAGUUACCAAGGUAGGACCUGAAUUUGUUGGUUGCAAGAAGGGUGAUCCUGUAUGUGAUGAGUUGGUUGCUUUCCCAAAACUUGAAUGGUUGAUCUUUGAAGAUAUGCCCAACUGGGAGGAGUGGUCUUUUUUUAAGGAUGAAGUUGCUGCUGCUGAUGGACGGGGAGAGGAUGGAGCUGCUGAGAUUCGAAAAGAGGAUGCCCAACCUGCAAGGGUGCGACUGCUGCCUCGUUUGUUGGAAUUGCAACUUCACGGCUGCCCAAAGCUGAGGUAUCUCCCGCAGCAGCUUGGAAAGGAUACCGCCUGUUUGAAGGAGCUAAGUUUAAGAGAACUAAACAACUUGAAGUCUGUGGAGGACCGUCCAGUGCUCUCUGAGGUCCUUGUUAUUGGGUAUUGUGAAGGCCUGGAAAGGAUCUGCAACGUCCCUCAAGUGACUGAGCUGCGUGUAUUUGGUUGUCCAAACUUAAGCCAUGUAGAGGGUUUGGACAGUUUGCAGCAGCUGUGGCUGGGCGAGGAUAUGAAAGAGGUCUCUUCCCGCUGGGUGCCUGGGCUUCAAGAGCAGCACAUGCGACUUCAUGGCGAAGACAUGGAUAUCUACACAUGUUAG
rnacentral:rRNA from 1 species